UGUUGGGCGGAGCCUUGAAAAAGAAAAAAAAACAAAACCCUGCUAAGAGCAACCGUUCAGGAGAGUGCAGGCUAGCAAUUUAACCUAGGGCCUCAUACUUGCUAGACUUGCCCUGCGAUUUGUUUCCAUGGUGAUUCUGAAUCCCAUCAAGUCGUCAAUCAAGAGUAACUGUUACAGAAGGAGAGGAGCAUAAAUCAACCAAACUCAGCCUGGUGUUUAUAUCCAGAGAUCAAUGGCUCCUAACUCUCAACGGAGGCUGCCACGGAAGGCGGUGGUAUGAGAGGGGAUCAACAUGGAGGGGCUAGAGAAAAAGAGGAUAGGUGACUGGGGCCCUGCAGGUCAUAACAAAAGUCUGGAUGUUAGUUCUGAGAACAGGGGAAGCCACCCAAAAGAUUCCUACUGGAAUGCCGUGAUAUAUGAGUCUGUGGAAGACACUUUCUCUGGAGAAUAAAGGUAGGAUUGUAAAUCAGAAGAGAAAAAUGAUGGCUUUCUCAUGGCUAUUCAGGGAAAACGAAGACAUACGAAGGCAGAUAACGUGUUUAAGCAUAGAGAGAAUACCGGGGCCUAAACUAGAUCACAGAUAUCUGGGUUCCUGCUGCUAACCUCGUAUGCUGCUCUGUCGAUGAUACAGCACUACGGAUGAACCCAGAGCUGCAUCCUAAGCAAGCACUCUAUUCCUGAGCUUCACCUUUCAUUGGCGAGCUUACUGCUUACCUGAGAUUGAUUGGCUGGCAGGAUGUUUUCCUCUACGACAUGAUCUUUGGUACCCUAUGAACAAGGCUGCAUAAGUGAAGGAGAACAGGACAAGUGUCUUGAUGAAAUGUGACGGAGUUCGGUGUCUGUGACAUGAGAGAGAGACCACCAGCCUCCAUAUGAACACAACCAGUCCCUCAGGAGCCACCUCAAACUGCAUCUCCAGCUAGCAUCCCAUCACUAGUGUAUCCUAAUUACACCGGAGGCUUCGUGAAUAUGCCUCAGUAUGAUCAUUUCCGCAAUGUGGAUUUUAGUCACAGAGACUGAUAAAUUGCAGCUGCUCAGAAGAAAUGUGGAGCUUAUCAAAUAGUGUCAUUUGAUUAUAACUAU
rnacentral:lncRNA from 1 species